rnacentral:rRNA from 1 species
AUGAACGCUGGCGGCGUGCCUCAUACCUUCCAGUCGCGCGCACGGACGAGAAGCUUGCUUUUCUGAUGUUAGCGGCGGACGGGUGAGUAACACGUGGAUAACCUACCUAUAAGACUGGGAUAACUUCGGGAAACCGGAGCUAAUACCGGAUAAUAUUUUGAACCGCAUGGUUCAAAAGUGAAAGACGGUCUUGCUGUCACUUAUAGAUGGAUCCGCGCUGCAUUAGCUAGUUGGUAAGGUAACGGCUUACCAAGGCAACGAUGCAUAGCCGACCUGAGAGGGUGAUCGGCCACACUGGAACUGAGACACGGUCCAGACUCCUACGGGAGGCAGCAGUAGGGAAUCUUCCGCAAUGGGCGAAAGCCUGACGGAGCAACGCCGCGUGAGUGAUGAAGGUCUUCGGAUCGUAAAACUCUGUUAUUAGGGAAGAACAUAUGUGUAAGUAACUGUGCACAUCUUGACGGUACCUAAUCAGAAAGCCACGGCUAACUACGUG